AGCUCUGUAAGCGUAUACCAAAGUUGUUGCAGUUAAAACGCUCGUAGUCGAAUUUUGGUGAUUGUUACUGAGACUCCUACUGGAUGUUGAUGUAUCGUCGCCUUUGUGGAGGGGGGUGUGGUGUUACUUAAUUGUAUUGCUGCAUUUCCGCCACUUUUUACUGUGAAAAAAUUAGAGUGUUCAAAGCGAGCGUUUGCCAUGAAUACAUUAGCAUGGAAUAAUAGAAUAGGACCUGGUCCUGUUUUAUUGGUUUGUCAGUAUCAGGUAAUGAUUAACAGGGACGGUCGGGGGCAUUUGUAUUCCAGCGCUAGAGGUGAAAUUCUUGGAUUGCUGGAAGACAAACAGCUGCGAAAGCGUCUGCCAAGGACGUUUUCA
rnacentral:rRNA from 1 species